AUGGGCCAAGGAGCUGCUCCUGCAGGAUCUUGGAGGGCUUCACUCAGGAUUGGCUCCUUGACUAAAAGAAAGGAAACAAGAUCAUAAGUUCCUGGAAAAAAAGCAAACUUGAAGGAUGUUUCAAGGGGCUUGUGGGGACUGGUAAAACCUCUUGCGGGAAAGGGCCAAACAUAGAAGGAAGGUGGUACCAAGGUGUAAAAUGAGAGGUUGAUGAAGGUUUGCUCUUGCAAGUAAACGACUUGUGCUCAUAAAAAUGGUCAAAAUUGUGCAAGAAACCCCUGGUUCAUAUUUGGCCAUGCUUGGUGCAGGGGCAGUAUCGUGCUGGGAGCAUGGAACACACACCUGGGGAGAUCGUGGGCACACACUGAGCCGGUGCUGUGGGGUGUGCUGGGGUGCUUUAGGCCUGGCCUGCUGACCAGUUAGGCCAGGCUCAGGCCACUGGGACUGCCCACGUCCAGAGCUGAGAGAUGGAGUGAAAGAGCAGCUGGGUGGGUGCUUGGCAGCACAGCUAAAACUGGACAGGUGCUUCAGCCAAAAUAAAAAGUCCAUUUUGAGAAGCUGGAGAAGAGCCCUAAAACCUGGAAAAUCUGCACUGAUUUCCAGGUACACCAGGCAGGACGAGGAUUCAUCUCGAGAGUCCUGUGGCUCAUCCUUUAUCCCAUUCCCAGCUGUUCCACACCAGACACCAGCUUUGAGGGAUGUAAAAAAUAGCCUAAAACAACAGAAUCCCCCAGAAAUCCUGGGAUCAUCAUAACGAGAAGAAUCUCUGUGUUCUGGAACACGUCAGAUCAGGGUAAGCACUCAAAAUACUCUAAGACAAAACUGAAGUUAGAAUACUCCAACCAUCAAAGCUGGAAGACACUUUUCACUUCAUCCAGUCCGGCCAACAAUCCAGCAAUGCCACUGUGACCCCUGAACCACUGAGCACAUCACCCAGUGCCAGAUGCCUCUGAAGCACUGCAGGCAUAGUGAAUCCUGUGGGCCCCAGCUUUCCCAGGGGUGGUUGCAAACUUCCAGAAAAUGUUUUUUAUUUAGAGUAAAUACAGAUGUGUUAAGAAAAGCUCUCUGUGUUUUUUAACAAUACUGUUUGGAGCAUCACUUCAGUCUGAAUUGCAAGAAUUAAAGAAACCCUGAAAGGAGAAGAGGGUCAGCCUGGACAUCUCUGAUAUUAAUUUGCUGUUGUGUGAUUACAGGUCUCUGCUAAUUGCUUUCAUCCAUUUUCACGAUGAAGGAAAGACAUGAUGUAACAGAAUAUUAGUAAUAAAAACACGUUACAAGAUAUAAACUUUCUGGAUUUGCACUUAAAAGGCGUUCAGUCUCACAAUCCACUCCUUUCCCCCUAAAAACAUGUCAAGGUCUGUGAUCAGGGCUUUCAGAGCAGCCCUGCAUGGACUAAGGGUUCUGAGUCUGUGGAGCUGGGUAGAUGGAGGCUGGGAGUGCAUCAUCUUUCACUGAUUGACGUGCUAAAUUCCUCAGAGCACAACAAGUUAAGGACUAAGUAAAUAAUCGAUUAGCUGUCAGCCUUCCUGGUCAUCCUCAUGAAAGGGAUUAGUGACAGCCAGGGGCCAGAGAAGUGAGUCAUGCUUCUACAAAUACCUUUUGAACCAGGACAAAAAACUCCCAGGGAACACUUCUUCCAUUUCAAA